rnacentral:rRNA from 1 species
UUCGGUGGUUAUGGCGGAGGGGAAACACCCGGUCCCAUCCCGAACCCGGAAGUUAAGCCCUUCAGCGCCGAUGGUACUGCACGGGAGACUGUGUGGGAGAGUAGGACACCGCCGGAC